rnacentral:rRNA from 1 species
CGAAUUCGCCCUUACAGGUUUCCGUAGGUGAACCUGUGGAAGGAUCAUUG